GGAAUAUUGGACAAUGGGCGCAAGCCUGAUCCAGCCAUGCCGCGUGUGUGAAGAAGGCCUUCGGGUUGUAAAGCACUUUUGUUGGGGAAGAAAAGCUUUCGGUUAAUACCCGGGAGUCAUGACGGUACCCAACGAAUAAGCCCCGGCCUACUUCGUGCCAGCAGCCGCGGUAAUACGAAGGGUGCAAGCGUUACUCGGAAGUACUGGGCGUAAAGCGUGCGUAGGUGGUUUGUUAAGGCUGAUGUGAAAGCCCUGGGCUCAACCUGGGAAUGGCAUUGGAUACUGGCAGUCUAGAGUGCGGUAGAGGGUAGUGGAAUUCCCGGUGUAGCAGUGAAAUGCGUAGAUAUCGGGAGGAACAUCCGUGGCGAAGGCGACUACCUGGACCAGCACUGACACUGAGGCACGAAAGCGUGGGGAGCAAA
rnacentral:rRNA from 1 species